UGACCCGGCGAUGUCCGAAUGGGGAAACCCAGUGCAAUUCGUUGCACUAUCGUUAACUGAAUACAUAGGUUAACGAGGCGAACCGGGGGAACUGAAACAUCUAAGUACCCCGAGGAAAAGAAAUCAACCGAGAUUCCCCCAGUAGCGGCGAGCGAACGGGGAGCAGCCCGGAGUCUGAAUCAGCUUGUGUGUUAGUGGAACGGUCUGGAAAGUCCGACGGUACAGGGUGAUAGUCCCGUACACGAAAGCACACAUGCUGUGAACUCGAAGAGUAGGGCGGGACACGUGGUAUCCUGUCUGAAUAUGGGGGGACCAUCCUCCAAGGCUAAAUACUCCUGACUGACCGAUAGUGAACCAGUACCGUGAGGGAAAGGCGAAAAGAACCCCGGCGAGGGGAGUGAAAAAGAACCUGAAACCGUGUACGUACAAGCAGUGGGAGCCUCUUUAUGGGGUGACUGCGUACCUUUUGUAUAAUGGGUCAGCGACUUAUAUUCUGUAGCAAGGUUAACCGUAUAGGGGAGCCGAAGGGAAACCGAGUCUUAACUGGGCGUUAAGUUGCAGGGUAUAGACCCGAAACCCGGUGAUCUAGCCAUGGGCAGGUUGAAGGUUGGGUAACACUAACUGGAGGACCGAACCGACUAAUGUUGAAAAAUUAGCGGAUGACCUGUGGCUGGGGGUGAAAGGCCAAUCAAACCGGGAGAUAGCUGGUUCUCCCCGAAAGCUAUUUAGGUAGCGCCUCGUGAACUCAUCUUCGGGGGUAGAGCACUGUUUCGGCUAGGGGGCCAUCCCGGCUUACCAACCCGAUGCAAACUACGAAUACCGAAGAAUGUUAUCACGGGAGACACACGGCGGGUGCUAACGUCCGUCGUGAAGAGGGAAACAACCCAGACCGCCAGCUAAGGUCCCAAAGUCAUGGUUAAGUGGGAAACGAUGUGGGAAGGCACAGACAGCCAGGAUGUUGGCUUAGAAGCAGCCAUCAUUUAAAGAAAGCGUAAUAGCUCACUGGUCGAGUCGGCCUGCGCGGAAGAUGUAACGGGGCUAAACCAUGCACCGAAGCUGCGGCAGCGACACUAUGUGUUGUUGGGUAGGGGAGCGUUCUGUAAGCCGUUGAAGGUGUGCUGUGAGGCAUGCUGGAGGUAUCAGAAGUGCGAAUGCUGACAUAAGUAACGAUAAAGCGGGUGAAAAGCCCGCUCGCCGGAAGACCAAGGGUUCCUGUCCAACGUUAAUCGGGGCAGGGUGAGUCGACCCCUAAGGCGAGGCCGAAAGGCGUAGUCGAUGGGAAACAGGUUAAUAUUCCUGUACUUGGUGUUACUGCGAAGGGGGGACGGAGAAGGCUAUGUCAGCCGGGCGACGGUUGUCCCGGUUUAAGCAUGUAGGCGGAGGUUCCAGGUAAAUCCGGUACCUUUUAACGCUGAGGUGUGAUGACGAGGCACUACGGUGCUGAAGUGAUAAAUGCCCUGCUUCCAGGAAAAGCCUCUAAGCAUCAGGUAACAUCAAAUCGUACCCCAAACCGACACAGGUGGUCAGGUAGAGAAUACCAAGGCGCUUGAGAGAACUCGGGUGAAGGAACUAGGCAAAAUGGUGCCGUAACUUCGGGAGAAGGCACGCUGAUGUGUAGGUGAAGCCCCUGCGGGCGGAGCUGAAAUCAGUCGAAGAUACCAGCUGGCUGCAACUGUUUAUUAAAAACACAGCACUGUGCAAACACGAAAGUGGACGUAUACGGUGUGACGCCUGCCCGGUGCCGGAAGGUUAAUUGAUGGGGUUAGCGGCAACGCGAAGCUCUUGAUCGAAGCCCCGGUAAACGGCGGCCGUAACUAUAACGGUCCUAAGGUAGCGAAAUUCCUUGUCGGGUAAGUUCCGACCUGCACGAAUGGCGUAAUGAUGGCCAGGCUGUCUCCACCCGAGACUCAGUGAAAUUGAACUCGCUGUGAAGAUGCAGUGUACCCGCGGCAAGACGGAAAGACCCCGUGAACCUUUACUAUAGCUUGACACUGAACACUGGUCCUUGAUGUGUAGGAUAGGUGGGAGGCUUUGAAGCGUGGACGCCAGUCUGCGUGGAGCCGACCUUGAAAUACCACCCUUUAAUGGCUGGUGUUCUAACGUAGACCCGUAAUCCGGGUUGCGGACAGUGUCUGGUGGGUAGUUUGACUGGGGCGGUCUCCUCCCAAAGAGUAACGGAGGAGCACGAAGGUUGGCUAAUCCUGGUCGGACAUCAGGAGGUUAGUGCAAUGGCAUAAGCCAGCUUGACUGCGAGCGUGACGGCGCGAGCAGGUGCGAAAGCAGGUCAUAGUGAUCCGGUGGUUCUGAAUGGAAGGGCCAUCGCUCAACGGAUAAAAGGUACUCCGGGGAUAACAGGCUGAUACCGCCCAAGAGUUCAUAUCGACGGCGGUGUUUGGCACCUCGAUGUCGGCUCAUCACAUCCUGGGGCUGAAGUAGGUCCCAAGGGUAUGGCUGUUCGCCAUUUAAAGUGGUACGCGAGCUGGGUUUAGAACGUCGUGAGACAGUUCGGUCCCUAUCUGCCGUGGGCGCUGGAGAAUUGAGGGGGGCUGCUCCUAGUACGAGAGGACCGGAGUGGACGCAUCACUGGUGUUCGGGUUGUCAUGCCAAUGGCACUGCCCGGUAGCUAAAUGCGGAAGAGAUAAGUGCUGAAAGCAUCUAAGCACGAAACUUGCCCCGAGAUGAGUUCUCCCUGAGACUUUAAGUCUCCUGAAGGAACGUUGAAGACGACGACGUUGAUAGGUCGGGUGUGUAAGCGCAGCGAUGCGUUGAGCUAACCGAUACUAAUGAACCGUGAGGCUUAACCUU
rnacentral:rRNA from 1 species